UACAGAGGUCCCGAGCGUUGUUCGGAUUCACUGGGCGUAAAGGGCGCGUAGGUGGUGAGGCAAGUCGGAUGUGAAAUCUCCAAGCUCAACUUGGAAAUGGCAUUGGAAACUACCUUGCUGGAGGUUUGGAGGGGGGACUGGAAUACUUGGUGUAGCAGUGAAAUGCGUAGAUAUCAAGUGGAACACCAGUGGCGAAGGCGGCUCUCUGGGACGGUACUGACGCUGAGACGCGAAAGCGUGGGGAGCGAACAGG
rnacentral:rRNA from 1 species